GAACACUUGAAAAUAGUGGUGAUGGCGGCUCUCGUUUGUCGUUGACAGUGGUUGUGAAUGCUUUUAGCAGUAGAGUGAACCCGUACCAUCGGCGGAAGGAAGGCUAAAAUGAGUGAAACCGAAGAUCAAGACUUCUGGGAAAGCAAAAGAAGUUAUUGGUUAAUCGACAAAGGUAAGUUGUCCUAUUUUCUGCUUCGUUUCUACUUCAUCUUAGCUUCUUUUGAGUGAAAUAAUCAGUGGUGUUAAAAAGGUCUUAUCACUUUAUGGGUUUUUCACUUUCGGUAAAGGAAUAGUUGCUUUUUCGGUAUUUAGGGUUUUGUAACAAUUAUGGGUAGUGCUUCCCUUUCAUAGUUGAAUAUUGUUGUUAAAGUUGGCUUGUGUCCCUUUCUUCGUUUAAUAUUAGGUUUUUCAGUACUUAAUCAUGGUGGGGCGAUU
rnacentral:lncRNA from 1 species